UACGGGGGGGGCAAGCGUUGUUCGGAAUUACUGGGCGUAAAGGGCUCGUAGGCGGCCAACUAAGUCGGAUGUGAAAUCCCCAGGCUUAACCUGGGAACUGCAUCCGAUACUGGAUGGCUUGAAUCCGGGAGAGGGAUGCAGAAUUCCAGGUGUAGCGGUGAAAUGCGUAGAUAUCUGGAGGAAUACCGGUGGCGAAGGCGGUUAGCUGGGCAGUUGCUGACACUGAGGCGCGACAGCGUGGGGAGCAAACAGG
rnacentral:rRNA from 1 species